rnacentral:rRNA from 1 species
UACGGGGGGGGGCAAGCGUUGUUCGGAAUUACUGGGCGUAAAGGGUUUGUAGGUGGCUGAUUAAGUCAGACGUGAAAUCCCUCAGCUUAACUGGGGAACUGCGUCUGAUACUGGUUAGCUUGAGUGCAGGAGAGGAACGCGGAAUUCCAGGUGUAGCGGUGAAAUGCGUAGAUAUCUGGAGGAACACCGGUGGCGAAGGCGGCGUUCUGGACUGCAACUGACACUGAAAAACGAAAGCCAGGGGAGCAAACGGG